ACGCACGCUGGCGGCGUGCUUAACCCAUGCAAGUCGAACGGAAAGGCCCUGCUUUUGUGGGGUGCUCGAGUGGCGAACGGGUGAGUAACACGUGAGUAACCUGCCCUUGACUUUGGGAUAACUUCAGGAAACUGGGGCUAAUACCGGAUAGGAGCUCCUGCUGCAUGGUGGGGGUUGGUAAGUUUCGGCGGUUGGGGAUGGACUCGCGGCUUAUCAGCUUGUUGGUGGGGUAGUGGCUUACCAAGGCUUUGACGGGUAGCCGGCCUGAGAGGGUGACCGGCCACAUUGGGACUGAGAUACGGCCCAGACUCCUACGGGAGGCAGCAGUGGGGAAUAGUGCACAAUGGGCGGAAGCCUGAUGCAGCAACGCCGCGUGCGGGAUGACGGCCUUCGGGUUGUAAACCGCUUUCGCCUGUGACGAAGCGUGAGUGACGGUAAUGGGUAAAGAAGCACCGGCUAACUACGUG
rnacentral:rRNA from 1 species